UACGAAGGGGGCUAGCGUUGUUCGGAAUCACUGGGCGUAAAGCGCACGUAGGCGGAUUGUUAAGUCGGGGGUGAAAUCCUGAGGCUCAACCUCAGAACUGCCUUCGAUACUGGCAAUCUCGAGUCCGGAAGGUAGGUUGGUGGAACAGCUAGUGUAGAGGUGAAAUUCGUAGAUAUUAGCUAGAACACCAGUGGCGAAGGCGGCCAACUGGUCCGGUACUGACGCUGAGGUGCGAAAGCGUGGGGAGCAAACAGG
rnacentral:rRNA from 1 species